CUUUUAAAGGAUAGUAGUUAUCCAUUGGUCUUAGGAACCAAAAAUAU
rnacentral:tRNA from 2 species